GUGCUCGCUUUGUCAGCACAUAUAUACUCAAAUUGGAACAAUACAGAGAAGAUUAACACAGCCCCCGUGCAAGGAUGACAUGCAAAUCUCUUAAUUCUUCCCUAUUUUU